UGAGCGGCAGUGGAAAAGGAGGAAAAGGACUCGGUAAAGGAGGCACCAAGCGUCAUCGUAAAGUUCUCCGUGACAACAUCCAGGGCAUCACCAAGCCCGCUAUCCGCCGUCU